UGUAAUGAUGAAUCAUUUGACUAGAGUCUCUGAUUUAACUAUGAAGUUCUUCACAGUGCACUGAACU
rnacentral:snoRNA from 1 species